GCGCAGAGCCCAAUGCAGGGCUUAAACCCAGGGAUUAAACCCAUGAACUGUGAGAUCAUGACCUGAGCCAACGUCAAGAGUUGGACACUUAACUGACUGAGCCACUCAAGCAUCCCUGUGGGUAAGUUUUCAUAGGACUAUAUAAAUACAUUUUUUCUUCUGUUAAUUAAAAGACAUUUAUGGCAAUAAUUGUAACACUAUUGAAUUUACAGCAUAUAUAUUGGGAUAUGUGUGACAAAAAAACACAAAGUUGGGAGGAAAUACAGCCAUACUCGAGUUUAUUUUGUCAGAUUAAUCUAAAGAUGACUGAUAAAUUAAAAUGCAUAUUGUAAUUCCUACAACAGCCAUUAAGAAAACCCAAACAUUAUUCCUGAAAAAUCAGAGUAGGUUCCACUUCUGGAAUGGCAGUGCAAGGAACUCUGUGGACCUGGUUUACAGCCACAGCUGGUGAAAAGUAUUUUAAAACACCCAUUUAAAGUCUGAAAAUUUUCCUAUGAGCAUGCAGCAAAUGAAACAUUUCUUCAAGAAAAUUUACUAAAUCUCCGUAAGAACAGCAAAAGCUUACAAUAGAUUCCUUAAAAUGCCCAGUUUUUAUAAAAAAAAAAAAAUACAUAAUAAGACAUACAAAGAAAUAGAAAAGUGGAACUGAUACACCGUAUAAAGGAAAAGUAGCUGCAAGGGGACCCAGAUGUUGGUCUUAAAAAAGACUUCAAAGCAACCACCAUGUAUUCAAAGGACUAAAGGAAACCAUGCUUUAAAAGUAAAGUAAGGUAUGUUAACAGUGCUCACCAAUAGUGGAUACACAGAAAUAUUUUUAAAUUAACGAUUUUACUAUAGGGUCUCUACAGUGCAUUUGAACUGGCAGAAGUAUCUGUGAACUUUGAGGUUGAUGGAGAUUAUGCAAUCUGAAGAAGAGAAAAAACCUGAGGGAAAAUAAGCAGAACCUCAGAAACAUGGACUGCAUGAAGUGCACCAACGUACAGUGAAGUACCAAAGGAGAGGGGAGAGACAUGAGUGAUCUAUAUAAAUUCUAAAUAAGAUAUAUAUAAAAUAUAACUAACCUAUAUAUUAGAAGAAAUAAUGGUUCUAAGCUUGUCAAACUUUAUGACAAUCAGAAAUUUAUACCCCCAAGAAGCUAACUUCAAGUGGGAAAAGUUGAUGACAGCCACUACCCAGAGUAAAAAUAUUAAAAUUGAAAGAAAUGUGAGGAGUCCACAAAUAUUUUCAAAUUAAACAGCAACUUCUAAAUCUAUGAGUCAAAUAAGAAAUCACAAAGAAAAGGUGUGAUAGAGAAAUGGGCUCCAUAUUGACCCAUGAUCGGUGUACGUGGAGGCCAGGGCUGUGUGGGGAGGGGAGGUUUGCAUAGAUAAGAUUCAAAGAUCAGAGGUUUAAAAAAUCAUUUGGCUUUCUGAAGUAUGGAGCCCAAGAAGGGCUGCCUAUACUGUAACCUAUCUCUGGAUCCAAAAUCUUUUUGCCCCCAGUUUUAUCGAGAUUAAUUGACAUGUAACAUUCUGUAAGUUUAAGGUGUACAAAAUUAUGAUAGGAUGUAUGUAUAUAUUGUGAAAUGAUUACAAUCAACUUAGUAACAUCCAUCGCCACACAGUACAAUUUUUUUCUCAUGAUGAAAACUUUUUUUAAAGUUUUAUUUAUUUAUAACUAAUCUCUACACCCAAUGUGGGGCUUGAACUCACAACCCCAAUAUCAAGAGUCACAUGCUCCUUCAACUGAGCCAGCUAGGUGCCCUCUUGUGAUGAGAACUUUUAUGAUAUACUCUGAGCAACUUUCAAAUACAUAAUAUACAACUGUUACCUAUAAUCAUGUACACUACAUCCCCAUAAUUUAUGUAUAUAUUAUAACUGGAAACAUACCUUUUGACCACCUUAAUCCAAUUCCCCCACCCUGGGUCCAAAAUCUUGAUUUGAAAGUACCUCAAUUUAAACUCACUAGUCUAGCUUAUUUUAGCACAUAUAACACACCAAAUUCCUAAAGUAAAGAUAUGCUGUCUUCAAUACUCCUGAUCUCCUACAAAGUUAAGAUGUUAGGUAUGGAGGUUCCAGUUUAUUAUUCUGAAGGGUAAUUGGAAAAGAUACUCUACCUGCUCUCAUCCUUUGGAAUUCCAAAAUGCUCACCCACAUGGCCAGAGUGUUUAGGGGAAUAGCAAUUUAUCUCCUCUAUUUUAUUAGAAAAUAAGCAGUUGCUACCCUUCUUCAUUAAACCCUACUAAUAUUUAAAGAUCAUGAAUGUAGUGGAUGAUGUAGUAAUGUCCUUAGGUUGAUCUCAUCAUUGCAAGUUCCAGUAAGUAAAUCUGCAACAAUAGAUGAAUCCACAUUUUAUGGAGUAGGAGAAUAACACUGCCAAAGUUGUGACUACUCAUUGGGAAGAUUGUCAUCAAGAAGACUUGAUAUCCCAUCUGAUUUGUGAUUUAUGGGCUAGCAAUACCACCACUAAUGGUGGUCCCUAACUAUCUUGUCUCUUUGUUUACUUCCUUUGGAGAUAUGAGAUUGCUGCUCAUGCCUAAUUUAAGGCUUAAAUCACAAUGAUCCAGGGAGACACAAGUUGCUGAACAUAUUAGUAUAAUUGACUUAUUUAUAGAUUAAGUGGGUGUGUGACCACCAUUUUUGUCCAAGUGCCUGUUCGAGAAUACAUAGUUCUUUCAGAGUGCCUGGAGUCUAACUGUAUUCUUUCCUUAUGGUUCUGUCAUACUGGUGUUUCCAACAUUUAUUACCACAUCCUGGGGUGUAAAUCACAGUGUGAUCUAACUGCUUCUCAUCGGAAGCCCCUAGAGCCCCUUGUCCAAUCUCUCACCCCAUUGUCACUCCCUGAAAGAGGUGUUGAGUCAGGCACACAGCCACCUACAAUCAAAACAAUAGCAAGCAUGCUUUCUUUGGUUUGAUAUACCUACUGAGAAUGAAUUUGGGGAGGAUCAAUCCAUGGAGUCUUCUCUGAGACUCAUCAAAUCAGAAUGUUCUUUUCCGAACAUUCUUUUCCAAGAGGCUACUGUGCAAUUUUCCAGCAUGACUCCUACCAGGCUUUGGAAAGGCUAGAAGUAGUUACAUCUGUUAGUUAAUUGUUAAUUAUAACAUCUGUAAUUACACUAAAUUUUGCAUUAUCUUCCUCCAAGAAGUGUACAAAUUGCAGUCUUCUCAUACAACAAUCUAAUUAAGCAGUACUUUAUAAAUGAAGUUGGAUAUUUUUUAUUCCAUAAAAGUCUUGGAAUAUACUUUUAUUCACUCCUAAAGAGAUGGUUGUUUUUACAACCUUGAAAAUUUAAAGCCUAAAUAUCAUAAGAAUCUUUGAAAUCUUUCCAGGAUUUUAUUAUUGUAGGGCAAUAUUGCCCAUAGUAGAUAAUUAUUUAACACUUCAUGGGUGUAAGAAUCCUCCUGUUCCCCAACCCACCUUGCCAUAGGCUGCCCUUGUAGCUGCCACAGCUCUGAAUGGAUUACUUUAUUUUUGUUAGCCAGUUUUUCACUUUCAUCUCCAUACUGCAGUACUUGGUAAUGUAACUGUCUCACUUUUAGAUUCUGUUUUCUUAGUAUAUGGAUCAUGGCGGGACACUGAGGAUCUGUCUGUGCCACUUCUUCCCAUUAUUUUUAAAUCUUUGAGGUGGAGAGGCUUCCUGAUUGGCAGAUAUUUUCUUCUGAACAGUAGUGUAACCAACAUUGGUGUCCACUUUUACAGUCCUGGGAUGCCCUUUCUGCUCCCAGUGUUUACAAUGCUGACAUGCAUCACCUACUAUUUUGUAAAUACUAUUGAGCUUAUGAAAUCUUGCUCUGUGUUCUUGCUCUGUUUACUAAUAUAACCCACAUAAAUAUUCUGAACUUUUAGAGCAAAUUCUCCUUGAUGCACAACUGGCUGAAGACUAGAAGGAUACCCAGGGUGCAACGGCUGCAAAUAGUAACCUCUUUGGUAGUGUAUGCAGCCUGUUGAUUGUAUGGGACCUUGGAGACAGGCCUUUCCAGUGGACAUUGAUGUCUGACUUCAUGCUAUCUAGGCUCCAGACAGGGAAUAGGUGUCCUGGCAUUGCACAAGGAAUUGAAUGAUGGGGGAUCAUUAGUGGUGAGAAAUUAUCUUUCGACAGCAACACUUUUGACUUGGAAAAGUCCCUCUUGGUGAUAAAUCCAAAAAUUUUCAACACUCUUUUGACAUGAGGUUUAGUUGCCGAAGGGUCUGUAUCUGAGGGUGUGUGGGAAUUACCUGAAACCAAAACCUGCAGAUCUCCAAGUCGAAUUCUCGUAUCAAUACUGAUUUCAUCUCUGAGGUUUGGAUCCAACAGUCUGCAUUUUUAACAAAUACCAUAGAUGAUUUUUCUCAGUAAAGUUUGGGAACAAGUGGUAUAAGUGAAUUUUAGCUUCUCUAACAGACGUAACAUUUUGAAGACUAAUUGAAAUGGCUAAUUUGUGAAUAUUUUCUAGUUGAACCCCAGCUAAUUUAAACAAAGGAAAAAUUUACUGUGAAAAAUACAAAAGCACUGCAAAAUAAAUUUCAAGUUGUUGCAGGAUUUUUUUUUUCACCUCAAUACCCGGGGUUCGUUGUCUCUCCUCUUUGAAGAAUGAAGAGGUGGACACAAAAUAAGCAACAGGCAAAAGUUUAUUAGAGUAUAAGAUCAGAAAGUAAGAGUAGUAGGAAGUCUUUUUUACAGAGAGGGGACAUUCAAAGUGAAUGACCAAAGACUAUAGGCAAGGGUCCUUGUUUUAUAAGGUUCUGGUCAACCUCCUUCCCUUCCCACUUGUUCCUUCUCAGGUUCCUUGUCCCUUAUUGGCUGGACAAUUCUAGGUGCUGGGUUGUCCAUUGCUGAUUGACUUGUUUCCAUUCUAUGAGGGGUGGUCUAUGGCCAUAUCAUUCCUUGUGGGUCAUAUGUUUCAUGGUCUACUACUUAUUUUCAGUUAGGUCUUUCGUCAAAUUCCUGAGGGAAGCCUGAAGGGGAGUAAGUGUGGUCUGUUACUUUCUUAAGAGGAACCUUAAGCGUGAUGGGGUUUGCUGUGGUCUGACACUCCCAGCAUUGUUCCAAAAUAUGUAUUUUUCCCCACCCAGGGACCUCAGGUCCUAAUUAUUUCCCUCUCUGCCUGUUUUAUCCUAUUUUUUCCUAUUAUAAACUGACUUAUUAGCAUCAUUAACAGUAUAAUAAUUGCUUUUUAAAAAACCUUUAAAAACUGAAAUAAAAAACACACAAUUUUCAAAAUUACCAAAAUAGCUUUUAUGAAGCAGUACUCCAUGCUAUGGAAUGAAUUGUGUCUUCCCCAAAUUCAUAUGUUAAAGCCUGAAUCCCCAGUAUGAUGGUAUUUGAGGAAGGAGACUUUGGAAGGUAUUAGGUUUAGAUGAGGUCAUGAUAGUAGGGCCCUCAGGAUGGAAUUAGGGUUCUUGUAAGAGACAUUAGAGAUCUUUCUAGCUCUUUCUGUCUCUGCCUUGUGAGGACAUGGAGAGAAAGUCUGUAAGCCAGUAAGAGAGCUCUCACUAGAACCUGACCAUGUUGUCACCUUGAUCUUGAACUUCCCAGGCUUCAAAACUGUGAGAAUUACUACACUAUUUUGGUUAUGGCACCCUUAGCUGACUAAAGCACAACAUAAAUGUAAGGGAUUUUUUUUUAUUACAAUAAUUUUGUUUUUUAUCAAUUCCCAUCCCAGCAUCUAUGGCAGAAUGUUCCCUCUUCAAAUUAAAAGUAAAACCUUCUUAGUAAGCACUAUAGUGUUUACUUCUAUUAAUAAAAUCAAUUUGCAAAAUUUGUCUUUGAUUUUGCUAAUGCCAAAUCCACAGGAAAAGCUGUUUUCAGAUAAAUUGUUCAACUUUUUUUAGUUGCAGUUUUCAUGUUUUACUUCAGAUUUUUAAUUUCACAUUUUGCUUAUAGAUUUCUUGGAUUUUUGGCUUAAAAUGAAGACUAUCUGGUUAUUAAUAAAGCUCUGUACCUAUGGGGGUGCCUGGGUGGCUCAGUCGGUUAAGCGUCAGACUUCAGCUCAGGUCAUGAUCUUGCAGUCUGUGAGUUUGAGCCCGGAGUUGGGCCCUGUGCUGACAGCUCAGAGCCUGGA